rnacentral:rRNA from 1 species
UACAGAGGGUGCGAGCGUUAAUCGGAAUUACUGGGCGUAAAGCGCGCGUAGGCGGCUUUGCAAGUCGGGUGUGAAAUCCCCAAGCUUAACUUGGGAACUGCAUUCGAGACUGCAUUGCUAGAGUAUGGGAGAGGGAGGUGGAAUUUCCGGUGUAGCGGUGAAAUGCGUAGAUAUCGGAAGGAACAUCAGUGGCGAAGGCGACCUCCUGGACCAAUACUGACACUCAAGUGCGAAAGCGUGGGGAGCAAACAGG